UUCAAGAUGGCUGAAUGGUUAUGGCAUCGGACUUCUGAUCCGAUUCACUGUAGGUUCUAUUCCUACUCCUGGAC